GAUGAACGCUGGCGGCGUGCUUAAUACAUGCAAGUCGAGCGAACAGAUGCGGAGCUUGCUCCUUUGACGUUAGCCGCGGACGGGUGUGUCACAUGUGGAUAACCUACCUAUAAGACUGGGAUAAUUACGGGAAACCGGAGCUUAUACCGGAUAAUAUAUUGAACCGUAUGGUUCAAUAGUGAAAGACGGCUUUGCUGUAACUUAUAGAUGCAUAUGCGCGGCAUUAGCUAGUUGGUAAGGUAACGGCUUACCACGGCAACCAUGCGUAGCCGACGUGAGAGAGGGGUCGGCCACACUAGAACUGAGACACGGUCCAGGGUCCUACGAGAGGCAGCAGUAGGGAAUCGGCGGCAGUGGGGGGAAACCUGGCGGAGCGGGGCGGAGUGAGUGGUAGAGAUCUUGGGAUCGUGAUGCUCUGUUAUUGGGGAAAAACAGAUGUGUAAGUAGCUGUACACGUCUUGACGGUACCUGGUCAAGAAGCCACGGCUAACUACGUG
rnacentral:rRNA from 1 species